AACGCGAAGAACCUUACCUGGGCUCGAAAUGUUGUGGACCGGGGUAGAAAUAUCCCUUCCCCGCAAGGGGCCGCAAUAUAGGUGCUGCAUGGCUGUCGUCAGCUCGUGUCGUGAGAUGUUGGGUUAAGUCCCGCAACGAGCGCAACCCUUAUCUCCAGUUGCUACCAUUUAGUUGAGCACUCUGGCGAAACCGCCUCGGAUAACGGGGAGGAAGGUGGGGAUGACGUCAAGUCCUCAUGGCCUUUAUGUCCAGGGCUACACACGUGCUACAAUGGCGCGUACAGAGGGUAGCGAAACCGCGAGGUGGAGCCAAUCUCUUAAAGCGCGUCGUAGUCCAGAUUGGAGUCUGCAACUCGACUCCAUGAAGUUGGAAUCGCUAGUAAUCGCGGAUCAGCAUUGCCGCGGUGAAUACGUUCCCGGGCCUUGUACACACCGCAUAC
rnacentral:rRNA from 1 species